rnacentral:rRNA from 1 species
UACGAAGGGACCUAGCGUUGUUCGGGAUUACUGGGCGUAAAGGGCGCGUAGGCGGUUUUUUAAGUCAGAUGUGAAAGCCCUGGGCUCAACCUGGGAGGUGCAUUUGAUACUGAAAGACUAGAGUUCGAGAGGGGGUAGCGGAAUUGCGAGUGUAGAGGUGAAAUUCGUAGAUAUUCGCAGGAACACCAGUGGCGAAGGCGGCUACCUGGCUCGAUACUGACGCUAAUGCGCGAAAGCGUGGGGAGCAAACAGG